rnacentral:sRNA from 1 species
GGUUGCCCUCCCUUUGCCUGCUCACUCCUGUUCUCUCUGGCAAAUCCAUUCCUUCACUGGCAUUAGAGCAUACUUCUGAGGGAUUCCAGCAUCUACUGAAGCACAACUGAGACAUCCAGCCUCAUGGACUGAACAACUACUGGAUUCUUGGAUGUCAGAAUUGUGAGCUGGAAUCAGCUGGCCAAAAUGCGUCAUCCCCAUGUAAAAUCCAACCCUGGGGUCUGCAUGUCAAUGGCAUAGACACAAAGGGGGAUAUGGGGAGCUGAGAAGUAGCUCAUGUGAAACCAUUCAGUAGACUGAACAAGUGAUGGAUGAUAUGUCUGCAGUGUUACAAGCACAGUGUGAGGGUCGAGUAUUUAGAAUGCUCAUUAGGAGUGAUGGAAACUUAAAACAAAAAAAUUGAGGGUCUGCUCUUCUCUGGAGUGUCACUUCUUGGUGUUUAGGAGGGAAUGACCAUGGUUAGAGGAGAGUGUAGGAUGAAGAAGGGCCUCAACCCUGGCCUUCAGAUGCCAUGGUUUGGAGCUCAGGGCUCUGUGUGACACAACUUGCUCAGACACAUACUCCAAAGGUUCCAAUUAGAGCCCUGUCUUGUGGAUCGUUGAAGGCCUUUAUCUCAGAAAGUGGGACAGGUAGACAUACCAAACAUGACCAGUCCACACUGGGAAGUGCUAAAAAAAAUUAUAAAACAUGUCUCAGAAUUUGAAGAUUCAUCAUGAAUAGAAAUUUAUAAAAUAUCAAACCCAUCUUAAUAAGUUGCCCUUAGGAGCCCAGCUGUUUCUUCUCUCAAAUCUGAAGCAUGCAGGUAAAUUAACCUGCUCAGGGGAUAACAGGAGAGAUGGAAAAUGUUGUUCCUCACUUGGAAGGGACUGAGAGCAGAGGACCUGAAGAGACUCUGUGGAGUGCAUGGGUCAAGGAAAGGACUUACAAUACCCUUUUCCCCCAAGCCAGAGACACACAGAACAGAACACAGAGGCUUCAAAGGCUCUGACUUGACCCCCCACCCUCUACAGUACCAAGUGGGGACUGCUGGGUCUGAUGAUCCAAAAGCUUUGACAUCAACCCAGCCCAGCUGUGCCAGUAAUUAACUGUUAGAUUUUAUUUUCUAUUAUGGCCUCCCCACUCUUGCUUAUAUGUCUCCUGAUGGCUUCACUUUUGUCUGCAGCCUGAUUCUAGGUUUUAAGCUUCUUAUGUGUCACUCAGCAAAUGAGACAUUCUCUGCCCAUACCUCUUACGCAUCCCCUUUUGUUUCUACAUCUCCUCCUCUUAUUAUUUCUUAAUUAGAACCUUCUAUAGCUUUGACAGUCUCUAAAAUCUGCAGUCCUUAACUCUUCCCCUCCCAGUUCCUUUAAAUGCCUCAAUUCUUUUCUUUUUAAAGUGGAUCUUCUACUCUUUCCUAUUCUCACCAACCCUACUUCCCUCCUGACCUAAUCUAACUAACAUGUGAAUAUAUUCCAUACUAUCUUUGGUUAUUUAUCUUCUAGUUGUUACUGAAGUCAAUGAGGACACUGUUGUUAAUGGACUAGCACAACAUUUGCAUAAAGGCCCAUAUCCAGCAGCUGUUCCUGUAAUUAAUAUUCUAUUCAGAGAAUAAUAUACAGUCCACAUCAGGCACCCUGGGCUCCUAGACAGAGGAACUAUUUUCUGAACUAUGCACCUCGGCUCUGCCAUAUCCAAGUCCCCCAAGUACUUCCAAUAAUUCAAUAGAAAGAAAAGAGCUGAUAAAAAUAAAGUCUGAAACAACAAAAUAACCAAGGUGUAAAUCCCAACUCUGUGCCAAGAACCCAAAACCCACAGAUUUUCCAAUAAUUACUGGGAAUGAUACCUAUUGAGAGUGAGUUAGCUGAAACUCUAGAGAACUAAAGGGGUUGUGGGUUUGUUCAAAUAAACUAAAGAGGAAUCGAAACUCCUGCUCGAACACAGAAACAGCUGAAUAAAAAGAGGAGGGUGGUGUGAGACAUGAACAAGGAAUUUAACCAAGAGGAGGACUGAAGAAAAACUGCCCUGACAAAAGUCAAAUCAAAAGCUCUGAGGAAAGUGUCAGCAAGAGAGAGAAUGGGCGAAGGACAAGGAGAGAAUCUGGCCUGAGGACAGGGAGGAGGAGGAAGAGCAGUCAGAAAGGGACAAAGAUUAACAAAGAAGGAGGAGCUUGUGGGAAUUCCAAGACAAGUGUGACCAUGAAAAAGGCGACUCUGUGGGUUACAGGCAUAGAAAAGGGAAGAGAAUCUCACUCUAAAGGCACAGAAACCAUCUGCAAGUCAAUCUUAAGAGAAACCUUCCCAGAGCGAGGAAAACUCAAUCUAGGUACAACAGGUAUUUAGGUCAGCAAACAGAAAAGCCCCUAUACUACCUCCCCUUCUCACUUUAUAGCUGAAACACUUAACUAUACAGAAGAAAGGGCAUGCCCAGAGAGCAACAAAAGAGAGUCAGCAGGGCAAGCCUAGUGCCAUAAAAGCAGAAGGACCAGUUGAAACUUGAAAAGCCAGGAGGUCUUGGAAUAAGGUAUUGCCAAAUUCUGAAAGACAGUAACAGCCCUUCCAGAGUCCUGUAAGGUUUAGAGUCAAACCAAAUCAGAUUAGUUUUUUGCCCUCAUGACCUCAAUCUCAGGUUAGUGAUUCUUCUCAUUUGUGUGACAGAAUGCCUUGCAAAAGCAACUCAACGUAAAACUAAUUAUUUUAGUUCACCGUUCAAGGCUGCAGUCCAUCAAAGCCAUUUGCUUUGCAUCUGCACUCAGGAAUCAGAGAGAGACGAAUGGAUGAUCAGCUCCAUGUCUUAUUCCCACUCAGGCCAGGACCCUCACUCGUGGAAUGGGGCAGCCCACAUUCAGGGCAGACAGCAACUCUUUUGGGGAUUAACUACCCAUGAUCACACCCGCCUUCAAAAGAGGAAUCCGAACUUGAGCGCUGACUGGCUCAGGCUGGCUUGCUCCUGAGCUCACGAUCUGAACCACGGGUACCAGAAAGGGUCUUUGUCUCUUCCUAGGUCCCUAUUUGUGUGUCUUGAGUGACUUUCCUGAGAAGACAUGAACAAAUGUCUAUUUGUGCCAUGUGGGACAGCAGUCACAGACUAAAGAAACAGGGCCAUCAAUAUCUGACUUGGAAGCCCAGCUAGACUGAUGAACCAAUGAGGUUUUGCCAAACAUCGCAGCCCAGCAUGGACAACACCUCACAGAGAAUUCACAUCCCGAGAGCCCCGACACAGCCAGCAGACUGCUCCAUGGAACAGGAACAGUUCACUUUGAAGGAAAUAGCUACACAAUGCUAUGUUGCCACCAUGUUGAUUCUCAGCUUCUCCAAGCCCACCCACCACAACCACUAACUUUCAGACUAUUGGAUACAUUAAAGGUACUUAUGCACA